rnacentral:rRNA from 1 species
AUGAAUGCUGGCGGCGUGUCUAAGGCAUGCAAGUCGAACGCUUCUUUAUUGCCCGCAAGAGUGGUGAAGAGGAGUGGCAAACGGGUGCGUAACACAUUGGCAAUCUGCCUCACAAUCGGGCAUAACCUCGCGAAAGCGAGGCUAAUUCCACGAUGGUCUUCUCGAUGUAAAGUCGAAAAGUAAAGCGCAAAACGCGUUGUGAGAGGAGCCUAUGGCCUAUCAGUUAGUUGGUGAGGUAAUGGCUCACCAAGGCAAUGACGGGUAGCGGUUCUGAGAGGAUGAUCCGCCACACUGGUACUGAGACACGGACCAGACUCCUACGGGAGGCAGCAGUGAGGAAUAUUGCACAAUGGGGGGAACCCUGAUGCAGCAACGCCGCGUGGAGGAUGACGCAUUUCGGUGUGUAAACUCCUUUUAUAUGUCAAGAAAAUGACGGUAGCAUAUGAAUAAGCACCGGCUAACUCCGU